rnacentral:lncRNA from 1 species
CACUGACACGCGCCUAACAUUCUUUCAUUGAUAAUCCGUCGAGCGAGCAGCGCGUCAAUAGCGCACUAAUCAAACGAAAAUGAUGUAAAACGGACGCACACGUACCAGGGAAGCCUUGGAGGGGACAAUACCAGGCUUUCAGGGGGGAACCAAACUGAGUUUGGGAUAUAUUGACUUUGAAUUUUCA